rnacentral:lncRNA from 1 species
ACCAUCUACCACAGGCAAUCAUCUUCAAUAAAAAGCAAUGGUUAUGCACAUGGGAGGGGCUUCAGGGCUCCCACCCGAAAGGCAUUAGCUACCAAGGAUGUGGGGUGUUUGUGGUGUGUGUGUAGGGGUGGAGGGAUAGAAACGUCUGGAGGCACGGGGGUGGAGGGGCCAAGAGGGACAAAGGUGGAAUUAGCUCAGAAGAUAGGUAAUGCCUCUCUCUCCAGGCCGCAAUUAAAAUAAUAUUUUAACAAAAGAGAUUUUUUUUCCAAGUUCAGAAAAAAACCUAUGCGGGGCGCGAGGGGGGUGGAGGAGGGAGUUGAUAAUGUAACAUACACUCUUUCAGACUGUAGAUAGGGUACCAGGGGAUUUGGACCUUGUGACCGAAUAAGAGCUCAGAAUCAGUAUUCGGACAGAGUAGGGGGAGGGGGCGGGCAACGUGUGGGUAGGAGGAAGGAGAAAGAGCGAAAGCUGGGAUAGACUCGGCUAGACAGUUCCCCCGGGUAGCAGGAUCCUCCAGGGCUCCAAUUCCGGGGUGCAAGGACCCUCCCCGACUACUCCCGAGCUGCACCCCAGCUCGAAGCCACUUGCUGCGCAAAGCGCGCGGGCCCAGCCGGUCUCGUGUCCCCCGCCCGUGCGCCGCGUAACUGACUGGCACACUGAGCGCGCUCACCGAUCUUGACUUGCUCGCGGUAGCUCUUUUCGUUGAGGCAAACCCCGCGGCCGUGCAGCAGGGCGUGCAGCGGCUUCUCCUCGUCCUGCCGGGGGAGGCAGCGCAGCCCCUGGGCGCAGCGCUCGGUGUAGACGCCGCACGACUGCCCCUCGGCCAGGGCGCAGGUCAUGCAGCAGCCGCAGCCCGGCUCCUUGACCAGCUCGCAGCCCAGGGGGCUGGGGGGGCACAUGGAGAGGGCUUUCUCGUCGCAGGGCUCGCAGUGCACGAAGGAGCCCAGGCUCUGGGCCGGCCCCGCAUAGGCGGCCAGCAGCAGGAGGACCGCGGGAGCGAGCCUCAGUGCUUUGAACGCCUCCUGCUCCAUCACAGUGACUGCUCAAGGCAGGACACCUGAUCCUAUCGGAAUCCACCCACGGGAACCAGCAAGUGAUUCUUGAACAUUUAUGCCAGAGAAAUGAAGACUUAUCUUGACAUGAAAAUGAAUGGACGUUUAUUUGUAAUAGCCAAACCUGGAAACAAUCCAAGUGUCCUUCAACAGAUAAUCCAAGACGGAGGAGAAGCAUCUCCAUGGCACCUCACUCUGAUUUGCGAGGAUUUGGCCAGAGAAACUGUUCUCAAGAGUGUGAAUUAGGUGGCAGCUACUAUUUUAUGGUACCUCGCUAUCCACUUUGUAAGAGUCUCCGAGAGCAGAGGGAGCACAUCCCCUGACACCUCGCACAUGACAGUUGCUUCAUCAGUGCUGGUUGUGCUCCUGAGAACUCAGCAUGGAGAGAGGCCUAGUCCCCGCUCCCCUGCUCCCAAUUGCUCUGUGACUCAUUCUCACGGCUCGCCCUUCAGGUUCUCGUUCUUGAAUUUCUCCUGCUCCCUCCCACUCCCAGUCCUUUGCCAUGUCUCCCCUGUGCCUGGAACACUUUUUGAUGCAGGUCACCUCCAGGACUCUGCCACUUUCAAGUUGAGUGUUCCAGGUAGGUCACUGAACCCCUCUGAGUUUCAGUGUCUUUAUCUGUAAAGAUAAAAACUAGACAUAACCUUUGGCUGACUGGGAGAGUUGGGAUUGGAUAAGGCAAGUACUGAGUCCAAGGCCUGGCUCUGAGUCCCUGCCCCAGGGACAGCAGCUCCUGUGAUUUUGGUUCAUCAUGGUAGGUCCCUCCUUCUCUCUCUCUUCUUGGGAACUGCCACCAUCCUUUCUGUUCUUUAACCUGCUUCUCCGCCAAUAAAGGCAGAGUGGAACACUCUCUUCCUGGCUCCUAUUUCCUCGCUGCCUCCAAAGACAAGCCUGUCACCUCCCCACCCCGCCUGCCCACAUCUUUGUUUUACUAAAUGAAGGAAUAAUUAUAAAAAUUUUAGAACUUCAUCAGGUCCUACAAGCAUACACCUGAAUGAUAACUUCCCUGUUGGGAUAAUAGCUAGAAACUCUGUUGGGUGUUUGCCUCUUGCUCGAAUUCCUUAUUUUAUUUUAUUUUGAGCAAAAACACACAUUUAUUUACUAACCAAAGGCUGAUCCUAAUCUAAGCCAACACUUUAAAAUAGCUGCAUGUAAAAUAUUUGUGAUGAAGAUAAUUAAACACAGUAAUGAAAAAAAUAAAAACAAAAACAAGCAGGAUGGAGAUAUGUUCAUUGAACUGAAAUUGUUCCUUCUCUCAGCUAAUUGCUCUCCAAAGCAGUAAGGAAAUUUUUAUUCUGCUUUUUUUAUUUUCACAGAUCUGAG